CCCCAGUAACGGCGAGUGAAGCGGCAACAGCUCAAAUUUGAAAUCUGGCCCCUAGGGCCCGAGUUGUAAUUUGUAGAGGAUGCUUUUGGCGAGGCGCCGCCCGAGUUCCCUGGAACGGGACGCCACAGAGGGUGAGAGCCCCGUCUGGCUGGCCGCCGAGCCUCUGUAAAGCUCCUUCGACGAGUCGAGUAGUUUGGGAAUGCUGCUCUAAAUGGGAGGUAUAUGUCUUCUAAAGCUAAAUAUUGGCCAGAGACCGAUAGCGCACAAGUAGAGUGAUCGAAAGAUGAAAAGCACUUUGAAAAGAGGGUUAAACAGUACGUGAAAUUGUUGAAAGGGAAGCGCUCAUGACCAGACUUGGGCUUGGCGGAUCACCCGGCGUUCUCGCCGGUGCACUUCGCCUCGCCCAGGCCAGCAUCAGUUCGCGCCGGGGGACAAAGGCUUCGGGAACGUGGCUCCUCCGGGAGUGUUAUAGCCCGUUGCGUAAUACCCUGGGGCGGACUGAGGUCCGCGCAUCUGCAAGGAUGCUGGCGUAAUGGUCAUCAGCGACCCGUCUUGAAACACGGACCAAGGAGUCGUCUUCGUAUGCGAGUGUUCGGGUGCAAAACCCCUACGCGUAAUGAAAGUGAACGCAGGUGAGAGCUUCGGCGCAUCAUCGACCGAUCCUGAUGUUCUCGGAUGGAUUUGAGUAAGAGCAUACGGGGCCGGACCCGAAAGAAGGUGAACUAUGCCUGUAUAGGGUGAAGCCAGAGGAAACUCUGGUGGAGGCUCGCAGCGGUUCUGACGUGCAAAUCGAUCGUCAAAUAUGGGCAUGGGGGCGAAAGACUAAUCGAACCUUCUAGUAGCUGGUUUCCGCCGAAGUUUCCCUCAGGAUAGCAGUGUUGAACUCAGUUUUAUGAGGUAAAGCGAAUGAUUAGGGACUCGGGGGCGCUAUUUAGCCUUCAUCCAUUCUCAAACUUUAAAUAUGUAAGAAGCCCUUGUUGCUUAGUUGAACGUGGGCAUUCGAAUGUAUCAACACUAGUGGGCCAUUUUUGGUAAGCAGAACUGGCGAUGCGGGAUGAACCGAACGCGAGGUUAAGGUGCCAGAGUAGACGCUCAUCAGACACCACAAAAGGCGUUAGUACAUCUUGACAGCAGGACGGUGGCCAUGGAAGUCGGAAUCCGCUAAGGACUGUGUAACAACUCACCUGCCGAAUGUACUAGCCCUGAAAAUGGAUGGCGCUCAAGCGUCUUACCCA
rnacentral:rRNA from 1 species